rnacentral:lncRNA from 1 species
GAGGGAGAGACUGAGUGAAAAGACAGACAGAAGGGAGCGUGCUACAAAUGGCGGGGACCUGGUACAUAGUAGGCAUUCAGCAAAUGUCUGCUGGAAAUGAAUACCCCGCAAUCAGGGAUGGCACCAGUCAGUUGGUCACAAGAAGAGAAUAAAGGAGACAUCUAGAAACAGCAGCAGACAGCAGGAGAGCUGCACUAAUGGCUACAGUGAGUACUCGAGUGGCUCACACAGAAAAUGAUCACCUUGUUCAGAGACACUUAAGCCUCACCAGCCUCCAGGGUCUACCCUUGUGUGAGGCCAAUGAACUCUGAAGACUGAAAAUGUUUUGUAAAUGACCCCAACAAAGGAUGGACAAUCAUAAAUAAAGAGAGCUCAUGAUGGAAAAUUACCUACUCUGAAAGCUCCCGCAUAAUGCCUGUUUCUUAGGAGAUCUUCUGAGAGGAAGCAGAGAGGAAUUCUUCUGAGGCUGUUUCUAGAUCUUUCUAUAUGGUUCGCACUGGGACAAG